rnacentral:rRNA from 1 species
GAAAAAAACGAGUUCAACUCCAACCCAUGUGACGUUACCAAACUGUUGCCUCGGCGGGAUCUCUGCCCCGGGUGCGUCGCAGCCCCGGACCAAGGCGCCCGCCGGAGGACCAACCAAAACUCUUUUUGUAUACCCCCUCGCGGGUUUUUUAUAAUCUGAGCCUUCUCGGCGCCUCUCGUAGGCGUUUCGAAAAUGAAUCAAAACUUUCAACAACGGAUCUCUUGGUUCUGGCAUCGAUGAAGAACGCAGCGAAAUGCGAUAAGUAAUGUGAAUUGCAGAAUUCAGUGAAUCAUCGAAUCUUUGAACGCACAUUGCGCCCGCCAGUAUUCUGGCGGGCAUGCCUGUCCGAGCGUCAUUUCAACCCUCGAACCCCUCCGGGGGGUCGGCGUUGGGGAUCGGCCCUGCCUCUUGGCGGUGGCCGUCUCCGAAAUACAGUGGCGGUCUCGCCGCAGCCUCUCCUGCGCAGUAGUUUGCACACUCGCAUCGGGAGCGCGGCGCGUCCACAGCCGUUAAACACCCAACUUCUGAAAUGUUGACCUCGGAUCAGGUAGGAAUACCCCGCUGAACUUAAGCAUAUCAAUAAGCGGGAGGAACUU